rnacentral:rRNA from 1 species
CAAUAGCGUAUAUUAAAGUUGUUGCAGUUAAAAAGCUCGUAGUUGGAUUUCGGUGGUGCCGGGCGGGCCGCCCCCGCGAGGGGGUCGCGCCACGCUUUUCGGUGUCACAUUUUCGGGGGAUGCCCUUCUGGCAUUAGGUUGUCGGGGGGGAGCAACCCGUCGUUUACUGUGAAAAAAUUAGAGUGUUCAAAGCAGGCUUAGGCCAUUGAAUACAUUAGCAUGGAAUAAUGAGAUAGGACCGUGGUGCUAUUUUGUUGGUUUGCGCGCCAAGGUAAUGAUUGAUAGGGACGGUUGGGGGUAUUCGUAUUCAAUUGUCAGAGGUGAAAUUCUUGGAUUUAUGGAAGACGAACUACUGCGAAAGCAUUUACCAAAGAUGUUUNCAUUAA